rnacentral:rRNA from 1 species
AUGAAUAUCCUAGUUUGGAACUGCCGAGGGGGGGGGGGACCGCGGAUAGUUCGUGAGGUGUUGGUGGCCCUCUCUAAAGCCAAUUCCCCGGGGCUUGUUUUUCUCUCGGAAACAAGACAGGCCUCUUCGAAGAUGGAGAAACUAAAGUGGAGAUUGCAGAUGAAGGGUUUUGCUGGUGUCUCGAGUGAUGGUCUCAGUGGAGGACUUGCGCUCUUUUGGGAUGAGAAGUUGCAAGUGACAGUGUUGGAUUCCUGUGCACGGUACAUUGACGUGCGGAUUGUUGAUGUGGCAAGUGACAAGACUUGGAGAACGACGUUUGUUUAUGGUGAACCUCGGGUUGAAAACCGUCAUCUCAUGUGGAGUUCACUCUCCCAGCUCCGUGCGCUCUCUUCGGAGCCGUGGUUAGUGUGUGGCGACUUCAACGAGGCGAUGUGGCAGCAUGAGCAUAUGUCUAGAUCCCAGCGCUCUGAAAAUCAGAUGGGGCUGUUCCGGGACUGUUUGUUGACUUGCGAAUUGUGGGACCUCGGUUUCUCGGGGUACCCUUUUACAUAUGAUAAUGGGCAGCUUGGUGAGAGGAACGUGCGAGUUCGCCUUGACCGAGCAUGUGCGGAUGAGAGUUGGAGGGAGCUUUUCCCGACCGCGCAAGUUGUUCACCUGGCAUCUUCAUGUUCUGACCACUGCCCGAUCUUUGUUCAGCUUGUUCUCGUGGACCCGAGGAGGACUAGAGCCUCUCCUCGGUAUGAGAUUAUGUGGGAACGCCAGCCGACGCUAUCAGAGGUGGUGGCGAGUAGAUGGAGGAAGAGUAAACCAGCCGGCAAUUUGGCGGCCGUGCGGGACGCCCUGCAUGAGAUGAUGAAUGGCCUUCGGGCGUGGAGUAAGGAGAACUUCGGUCAUGUUGCUACAGAAUUGGAGAAGUUAAGGGCCGAGCUGGCUGAUUUACAACUAAAAGAUGCAGACAGAACGUUGAUCCGUCAGAAGAUGUUUCAGCUUGAUGAGCUGCUUUACAGGGAAGAGAUGAUGUGGUUACAGAGAUCGCGCAUUACGUGGCUGAAGGAAGGAGAAAGGAACACGACAUACUUGCAUAGGCGCGCCUUGUGGCGUGCGCGAAGGAAUCACAUAUAG